CGAAAAACAUAACAAUAUUUAAUACGACGUUUCGGUUGGAAACCAGCCUUUUUCAAGGGAAAAGGGUUGGUUUCCAGCCGAAACGUCGUAUUAAAUAUUGUUAUGUUUUUCGU
rnacentral:pre_miRNA from 1 species